CGUCCGUCCAACCUCCCCACGUCGCUUCGUCGUCCCGCAAAUCACGCCCCGCGGAAGAAACGUUUCGUCAAAAUGUACCCAGUCAACCCCCAACCACGUCCAUACAGCUCCUCUCCAAUCGGCACGCCGCCUGCAUCUUCGGCUCCCUCGUCCCUCCCCGCACCAUCCACCUCAUCUCGCACUGCACCCGCCAUGGCAACGGGCUGAAUGCAUCCUGCAGUGGACGGACGGUCAGCAUCUCCUGCUCCAUCCCGAGUCGAACUGAGAAUCCGCGCCGGCCGGCCUGAAUGCAUUUUCAUUUAGAACCGAAGAUCCGCGCCGCCACGCAGGAUCCGGAUUUGGCCGUGUUCCCUGGAUGCCACCGCACUGAGUUCACCGACUGGCUGGCUCAGAUCCACGCAUCCUUAUCAUCGAGAAGACACCCUCCGUGUAGCACCAGAAAUCACAUCGCUGCUGCCGCCGCCUGCAUUUCACGCUCGACCCCACUUUCCCCCGUCCCCGUUUGAGCUCGCCUUGAUUUCUAGCCGCCGCCGCCGCUGUUCCCCACCUCCGGAGCCGUGCCCUCCUCCCGUCAGUGGGGAGAAGCCGCUCCCCAACGGGAUCUCCACCUCUCCGGUGUGGGGAACGGCCACGACCUCUCUUGCCCUGCCCUGUGUCUUGUCCGGAAUUCAUCAGUCAGGCCGUCCCCAAACCUCCGCGUUUGACAAAAGAAUCACCAAUUUUGCUGAGGACAAGUUUAAGAGCGAAGGAAUAGAUCUGAGCUCCGAAGGAACACAUGACCGCUGCUGCAGUGUUGGAGUGCAGUGUCUAUGGUCGUCGAAGCGCUAAAGCCCCUAUAUUCAAAGGCCACCAGAUAUACAACUACACUCUGAAAAUGCCAUUUCUGUCGCUCUAACCGAUGGCGGCCUUUUAUAUGCACACCCAGAUUCAAGAAUUGAUAAAGUAGGCAUCGUGUUGUCUUUGAUGUCAGUUCGCAAGAACAUCUUUUCAUAUCCCAUUACACCGUGCUUUCUUCGCUAUUGCGGAAAUAAAUGAAGAAAUGUUUUGGAGAGGAUGCCAAACAAGAUGAAUGUUCAGCUGUGCAGUCCAGUGAGUUCUUCUCUCAGGUACUUAGAGGUUGUGAGCCUUAAGGGUUUGCUUCAGUUGUGAUGGAGCAUCCUUUAUGAGUGAGAGUAUUUUGUGCACAAGUGCGUGCUGGAAUGUGGCGUAAGAAUGGAGAUGCGGCUAUACUGAGUGAUGAGUGGUACCGCUUGGUGCAAUGUUAAUUUUUUACUGACCCCAUAUGCAUUGCUAUUCAAUAAUAGUUUCUGCUAUUCAAUAAUUCUUUCCAGGCUUGAACAGGGCUUGGACUCAGAUCUGUUUCUGCUUCAGUGUUGUGCUGCAUUAUAUUCGUCAGAGUUCUUCGUGAGGACCAUUCAAGAGAGAUUUGGUUUAUCAAAUUAUACAUCUUUGGAACUCGGAGAACAGAAUGAAGAAGCUUUGGUGUUGCAUUAUCAUCGAGUUCAAAGUUCUCACACUUGGGGCUUUAGCUUCUCAAUUGCAAUAGCAAUUUAUCAUGCUAAAGAUGAUACCGCUAAUGACAUGGAGUGCGGCCACCAUGAACGAGGAAUAAGAGAAUCUGAUUCGGAGGGUGAAGAGUACGACCAUUUGCUGAAUGUUGGUGGUUCCUGUGGGCAAUUGAUUAUCCCAUUUCUGCAGUUACCUCCAUAACAAAAAGUUCAGCAAAGAAUAUUUUUGGAAUGACUCGAUUGAGCAGAUGAAUGGGAUACAUAUGCUCUUGUUAGCAUGGACCUGGUUUUACAAUCAACAAACAUUUCAUCCUAUCCAUAGGAGGGAUGGCAAUUUCCUCUAAUACAGAUCUUCACUUCAGUCGCUUGUUCAGUGCAACCAAUGGAAUUCUUUGUAGGCCUCUCCUUGAAAAUUUGUGAGCAGAGCCCAGCAGGAGGAGCUUGUCCAGUUUAGCAUCUGCUGUAAUAAAGAGCACCCAUUUACAUAUUUUCAUGAAAUAAUUUUUGAUUAACUUUGCUAAUGCGAUGCUCAUGACUUCUUGUGAGAUGGAUGUGUUUACGUAUUUAUGGUGCAAGAAAGUCAAAGUGAUUGAUCUUAGCCAUCUUAUGAAGGAUCGGUCUACCCUAUACGUAUUUAUGGUGCAAGAAAGUCAAAGUGAUUGAUCUUAGCCAUCUUAUGAAGCAUCUGUCUACCCUACACGAUUUUAUGAUGCAAGAAAUUCAAAGUGAUUGAUCUUAGCCAUCUUAUGAAGCAUCUGCGGCAGUAGUUACAAAGCGAGUAAUACCUAUACAGGAGGAAAUAAACGAGGAACAAUGGUUAAAUGGUAGGAAAUUGUCAAUGUAGAAUUUUAUAAGCUACUUAUAUACAUAAUAAUAUUUCUUAUUAAAUGUUGUCAGUGUAAAAACAUAUUAUAUAUGUUUCUUUCUA